UACGAAGGUCCCAAGCGUUGUUCGGAAUCACUGGGCGUAAAGGGAGCGUAGGCGGCGUGGUAAGUCAGAUGUGAAAUCCCGGGGCUCAACCCCGGAACUGCAUCCGAUACUGCCAUGCUAGAGGAUUGGAGAGGUAGCUGGAAUUCUUGGUGUAGCAGUGAAAUGCGUAGAGAUCAAGAGGAACACUCGUGGCGAAAGCGAGCUACUGGACAAUUCCUGACGCUGAGGCACGAAAGCUAGGGGAGCAAACAGG
rnacentral:rRNA from 1 species